ACCUUCAGUUCCAGUAGCUGUAGUUUCCUCCGCAAUCCUCUGUUUUCUUUCUGGCUUUGAGACAUUUCCAAACGGAUGACUGCAUAGUCGUCGUCUACGAGUUUACAGAUCUCUGCCACGGCUGCAUUUGCUAACACCUCCAUGAUGGAGGCUAUUUGAGUGUGAAAAACCAUACAGUUAGCCAUUGUUAGCUAGCGUUACCUAGAUAACAUCUAUUAACCAAGCCCUGUCUCCAACGGGAAUUAAACACUACCUGAACCCAGAGUUGAGGACGUUGUCCCAUCCACUGGCCUCCACUAUGUCGCGUCUGGUCCUGGCCUGCUCUGUGAUGUUGUCUCCUGGGCCCUUGACUGCACCCGUCUGGGUCUGGGAAUCCAAGAUGGCCGUCCAGUCUCCUCUGUUAGCCUCCAACCAACCACCUGCAGGAAGAGCAGCACCUCUGGACCCUCCUCCUCCUGGAAAAAGACAGGUGACAGAGACGUACACUCCCUCAGUUUUAAAUACACCAUUGGAAAACCACACAUACGUGUUUCUCUGCGUACCCGGCCCACCACCUCAAGCUCAACAAGACGGAGCUGUUCUUCCUCUCGGGGAAGUCCUGCCAGCUCCAAAACCACAUCACGGUUGAUUGACAACUCCAUGGAGUACAAAGAACAAAGCAAUGACUUCCUGCAACUGUGAUAUAUGGUUGUCUCACCCAGCUAUCUUAAGAUGAAUGCACUACUAAGUCGCUCUGGAUAAGAAAAUCUGUUAAAUGACUUGCAUGUAAUGUUACAACAAAACAAAAAUCUGCAUGAACUUGAUAAACUGCAUUCAUUUCCUCAUUAAAAGUGUCUUAGGAAAAAUAAAGUAGU